GAUGAAGAACGCAGUGAAAUGCGAUACUUGGUGUGAAUUGCAGAAUCCCGUGAACCAUCGAGUCUUUGAACGCAAGUUGCGCCCGAAGCCACUAGGCCGAGGGCACGCCUGCCUGGGCGUCACACGCCGUUGCCCCCCCAUCUACUCCUUCGGGAUUGCGGGGGGGCGGAUGAUGGCCUCCUGUGCGCCUAGCCGCGCGGUUGGCAUAAAUACCAAGUCCUCGGCGACGCACGCCACGACAAUCGGUGGUUGCGAAAACUCGGUUGCCCGUCGUGUGCGUUCGUCGCGCAUCGAGGGCUCGAAAAAAUGCUCGGCUCCGGCUGGGCUUUCAACGCGACCCCAGGUCAGGCGGGGUUACCCGCUGAAUUUAAGCAUAUCAAUAAGCGGAGGA
rnacentral:misc_RNA from 1 species